rnacentral:rRNA from 1 species
UACGUAGGGCGCAAGCGUUAUCCGGAAUUAUUGGGCGUAAAGAGCUCGUAGGCGGUUUGUCGCGUCUGCCGUGAAAGUCCGGGGCUCAACUCCGGAUCUGCGGUGGGUACGGGCAGACUAGAGUGCAGUAGGGGAGACUGGAAUUCCCGGUGUAGCGGUGAAAUGCGCAGAUAUCGGGAAGAACACCCGUGGCGAAGGCGGCUCUCUGGGACGGUACUGACGCUGAGACGCGAAAGCGUGGGGAGCGAACAGG